rnacentral:rRNA from 1 species
UCUACAUAUAGCGCCUCUAAUUAGCGUCUUCCAUUGGAAGACAAGAUGCCUAGAUGCCUUUUUAUUUUCUUUAAUAUUAUUUUUUUCUCCCUAAGCGUCUAGCUAAGAGCCUUGCAUUGUAGAUGCCCUAAAAGCUGAAAUGUGGUAGACGACAUGUUUUAGCCACUCAUGGGCCAUGGCUUAAUUACCAGCCACAUGCGCGUAUGCAACGUGAAGGCAUGUGUGGCAGCCCGCGGUCUGGUCAACCGAAGAGAUAAGGAAACAAAUCCCCACCAGAGAAGGAAAUCUCCCGUGCUCCAACACCCACUCAUGGAGACUACCAUAGAAAUCGUUCUCGCUCCAGGGGCUCCAUGUACUAGUGCGGCCGGAGCGGCUUCUCGACGGCGAGGUUGUUAGGAGAAGGCCGAGGGCCAUCAGACGGCGGCGGGCGCCGGAGCGUGGCGCAGGCGGAGGAGUGGCUGGCGUCGGAGACGGCAGGCGCGACGGCCCGGCAGUGUCUGCGUCAACAACCACAUCGCUUCAACAACCGCAGUGGUUGGAGACGGCAGCGCCGCGGCCUCGUCGUCGCCUGUGACGACCUCGUCCGGCUGGCCGGUGCUCAAGUCCCGGCGCGGCGGUCAAUGGCGGCCAUGGUGCGACCGUAAAGCCUCUCCGCGAUGCUGCUCCAGCCCGCGUUGGCAUCGGUGUGUUCUUCGAGCGCCACGGGCAGGAGGGCGCAGCCGGGCGGCCGAGCGCGGGGGCGCGUCGUAGCGCGGAGGCCGUGGUCUGGGGCACGGCACGGAGGGAGCGAGUCCGGCGGCACGGACGGGCGCAGCGCGGGCGCGGCCACGGCCACGGCCGGCGACGAGGCGCGGCCGUGCGGCAAGUUUUGAGGUCUGAUGUCCUUGGUAAAGAAAUAAGGUUAUCUACUGAUUCUCCAUACAGCCAUGAAUCCAUCGAUUCGGUUGGCUUUUGGCGUUUGCACACAUACCAUAUCUCCAUCUAGAAAGAAUUAGGAAAGUAAGGUCGCGUCCCCGAUUGAAGGGCCUGAUGCUGUGUGGUGAAGUGCGUUCACUAAGUGCGCCGACUGUUGGCCGCUGCCAUCCGGCGUCCCGACGGGAGGAACGGCAGCGCGGAUGUGUGUGGAGGCGCAGGGGAAGAACACCAGAUCCGGGCUCGCGUCGGCCACUUGGUUCGAGGGGCCGAGGGCCACCGGUUCAUCAACGCCGGAGGGCGUCGCCCCAACCGACGUGCACUAGUCUCGCCGUUCUUCUUCUCUUCUUUUUCUUCUGCUCCUUUACGCUUGUCGCAUGGCCUAAUGCUCUCGGUAGAGGCGUGCGUGAUAACAUGUUGAGAGGAAAAUGAAUCAACUAUCUUCUUUACUAGAUGACAUCUGCUAUUUAUACAAGGGAAAGGACAUCAUUGGAAAAGGUGUCUGUUUAGAGGAGGUGCCUCUUCGGCAAAAACCGACGCUGCAGUUUUACAACUGCCUGCAGUUAGUACAAGCAGGGAUUAAUUUCAUAAUUAACAUAUGGUUAAUUAAUUCUAACAAGCCCGUUAACGGCCCCCUACGUCUUUGGGCCUAAUUACGACCCGAGCUUCUUUCGGCCUGUUAGCAGCACAUCGUCAGUUCCAGCCCGUUAACGGCCAAGAACGUCUUUCGGCCUUUUCUCGCCUCAUUGUGCAGUUGGGCCAACUUCUAGCCCGUUGUGACUUUAGGCCUGUCCUCGGCCCAUUCGAUAAAUGGACCAAUUCCUAACCCAUUUUGUCUUUCGGCUUGUUAACGACCCGCACAAUAGUUGGGCCUUUAACCAUGCAACCUAAUUUUGGGUCCAUUAGGCGCCCACGUUCCGCAGGGUAAAAUUUUAGCCCGACGCGACUCUCGGCCUGUGAAAAGCCUAGAUUGCAAAUUGAGCCUCCUCUGGCCCAUAACACUUCGACCUCUUAAUGACCCGUAAAGUAAAAGGGCUGAGACAAAAUUAAAAUUUAUUUCGGCUUGUAGAGGCUCGCGGUCCAUUUCCAUUUAUAUGGCCCUAUCGAGUUCUCGGCCUGUUAACGGCCUUCUAAGAUUCGUUGUUACGGUAAGCCAUAUUAUCUUUGAUCCACUAAAUAUUAUUUUGACGAGCCCAAUUAAGGCCCACUUUGAUUACACAUGUUUGUUCGUUCGUAUGGCGUUCAGAAAAUGUUUGGGCAUGUUGGCCCAUAUUUCAACAAUAUAGCAUAUUCAAAGAAUUAUCCUACUCUAUACUAUCACCUCUAAAAACAUACACUAUACAAUAAAAAGACUAAGGUAUAAAAACGUAGAAUAAUCCUACACUAUACAAUAAAGAAAUUACAACCGAUUAUACCCACUGGGCAUUAUAUUUCGGCACCACUGAUAAUAAAGCGUACACAAACAAAAAAUUACAUACACUGGGCAAAUAAAGCUCAUACAUCAUGGACAUGCAUCAAUAAAACUUACCAUCUGAACUAUAAUCUCUUCAGAAAAUAGGAUUGGCCGGAUUCGGAUAGCACAAAUUUCAGUCUGCAAAAUCUCCAAUUCCUUCAUGGUUACCUAAGUGUCUUGUUUCAUUUUUUGAUUCCUGCGUCUAAUACCUGCAAGUAUAGUCUCAACUUGUUGAUUGCAUGUUGAGAAUCAUGUACACGUUGUCUUGCCACCUCUAGUUGAUGCUUGAGAACAUCAGCACAUUCCAAUUCCAAUUCAUAAUCAUUUGGUAACGGCCAUGCUGCACCGCUCGUAGAUCUUUGUGUUGAUGUCACUUGAUCCUGAAAUGUUUUUGUAAGUACACAUGACUUGGGCAAAAAUAUAGUUACAACAGUGAAGAGAGCAAGACAGACUAUUUUGUACAUGACAAAACAGGACUAACAAUAAUGUUAAAUGUUGAUGUCUACUACGCAACUUUAUUCUUUUAGACACGUGUUGAGCCUCGAAGCACAGAGUUUUGUAGGACAGUAGUAAUUUUCCCUCAAGUGGAUGACCAAAGGUUUAUCAAUCCGUGAGAGGCGUAGGAUGAAGAUGGUCUCUCUCAAGCAACACUGUAAUUAAAUACAAGAAAUCUUUGUGUCCCCAACACACCCAAUACAAUGGCAAUUUGUAUAGGUGCACUAGUUCGCCGAAGAGCUGGUGAUAAAAGUGUAAUAUGGAUGGUAGAAAUAUAUUUUUGUAAUCUGAAUAAAUAAAAACAACAAGGUAGCAAAUAGUAAACGAGCACAAAAACGGUAUUGCAAUGCUUAAAAAUGAGGCCUAGGGUCCGUACUUUAACUAGUGCAAUCUCUCAACAAUACUAAUAUAAUUGGAUCAUAUAACCAUCCCUCAACGUGCAACGAGGAAUCACUCCAAAGUUCCUAUCUAGCGGAGAACAAAAGAAGAAAUCAUUUGUAGGGCACGAAAUCACCUCGAAAUUAUUCUUUCUAAUCGAUCUAUCCAAGAGUUCGUACUAAAAUAACACAAAAUAAUUUCAGAUUCACAAUACUCAAUCCAACACAAAGAACUUCAAAAAGUGCCCCAAGAUUUCUACUGGAGAAACAAAGACAAGAACGUGCAUCAACCCCUGUGCGUAGAUUACCCCAAUGUCAC